CAGCCGCCGCGGUAAUACGUAGGUGGCAAGCGUUGUCCGGAAUUAUUGGGCGUAAAGGGCUCGCAGGCGGUUUCUUAAGUCUGAUGUGAAAGCCCCCGGCUCAACCGGGGAGAGUCAUUGGAAACUGGGAAACUUGAGUGCAGAAGAGGAGAGUGGAAUUCCACGUGUAGCGGUGAAAUGCGUAGAGAUGUGGAGGAACACCAGUGGCGAAGGCGACUCUCUGGUCUGUAACUGACGCUGAGGAGCGAAAGCGAGGGGAGCGAACAGGAUUAGAUACCCCCGUAGUCCCUGUCUCUUAUAC
rnacentral:rRNA from 1 species